rnacentral:tRNA from 1 species
GCCCCCGAAGGGUAGCGGUUAUCCCGGAGGCCUGUGGCGCGCAAGCGCAGAGAGCCUCAGUUCGCGGGUUCGAUCCCCGCCCCGGGCC